rnacentral:rRNA from 1 species
UGGGGAAUCUUCCGCAAUGGACGAAAGUCUGACGGAGCAACGCCGCGUGUAUGAUGAAGGUCUUCGGAUUGUAAAGUACUGUCAUUGGGGAAGAACGGUUUUCUUGAAAAGAUUGAGAAGACAUGACGGUACCCAAGGAGGAAGCCCCGGCUAACUACGUGCCAGCAGCCGCGGUAAUACGUAGGGGGCAAGCGUUGUCCGGAAUUAUUGGGCGUAAAGGGCGCGUAGGCGGGCCUUUAAGUCCGGUGUGAAAGAUCAGGGCUCAACCCUGAGAGUGCAUCGGAAACUGGAGGCCUUGAGGACAGGAGAGGAAAGUGGAAUUCCACGUGUAGCGGUGAAAUGCGUAGAUAUGUGGAGGAACACCAGUGGCGAAGGCGACUUUCUGGACUGUAACUGACGCUGAGGCGCGAAAGCGUGGGGAGCAAACA